AUUUAAGGAGUUAUUCAACAGGAAUUCUGACUACUCUUGAUGGAAGGAGCUCAGCUGCCAGUACUUUUCAGGAAAGCAAGUCUAUUACCAUCCCGCAUAUCUUCACUACCCCUGUUCCUGCCUCUGAGCCUGCCAUGGAGUUUGCCCUGGAGUUGUCUUCCUGCUGCCUGAUGGUUCCUACGUCUUCCCUAAGACACCAGGCUAGUCAGACAGAAUGGACCUAUGAGGGAAGCCAACACAAGAGCACAUAUAGUACCCAGAGUACCAAAUUCGCCCAUUUAUUUAUUUAACAAGGAAUGGAAGACAUUCCUUGUUCUGCUGUGAGAAUACAACAGGCGAGCCAGUCUGCUUCCUGCCCAGCCACCCUCUAUUCCAGUUCUCAGCUCUGCCAGAGCACAGACACUGGUAAAAGUCCCAAAUAAGCCAAAGAAUACUGAAGAAGAGCAUCCACCAAGAUAGUGCAGGUGUUAUCAAACACAGGCUGGCCACAGGCUCCAGGAAGAGAGGAAAGAGCACAAGAUGAUUCCAUGAGGUGACAAAGGAAGGGUGUGGGAGGAAACCAGGAAGCAUGAGCUACAGGAAGAUGAAGGAGCUCAAAACCAAGCCAAGGAGAGGGAGAGCAGAGACACAGGAAAAUACACUGUGUGGAGGGGAAGGGGACCUGCAUCAGCACACAGAUGACCAAGGGUCCCAAGCUAAGAAGAUGCAAAAGAGAAGCAGUUUCAACCCGGGGCUGAAGCCACCCAUCUACUUGUUGGAGAAACACAGGUGACCAUGGCAAAAGCAAUCCAAAGGCCUGAUAGUGCAGAGCCAAGGCCAGCAGGACUGAGAAGUGAGAUCAGGGAUGGGGCUGCUGCUCCAGAGUGCCCAGGACUGUAUGCCCCUGUUGCCAGGUGCUUGGGAAGACACCAAUUCCUGGUCCUUAUCAGAAUCCCUGCCUGAGAGGGCCUGGAAUCUGCCUUCUUAAAAAGAUCCUCAGAGGAUUCUAGGGGGCACAAAUGAUAAGGAACCAAGAGUCACUAGUUUAGUGUGAAUUUUGGGGUGCUAGGCUCCUGUUUUCCAGAUAUUUUUCAUUACGGCACUGUUCCACCCCAGUGGGUGCAAAACAGGGUUUUACGUGGCAUAUCCCCUCUCAACAAACAAGACUUUGAGCUCAGUAUGAAGCAAGAUACCCAGAUAUAUCCUUGAAAUCUAUUACUCCAAGGAAUGAUAGAUCUGACUUGGAAGGAAUGCUAAAGGCACAAGAAAUGCCUCACAAUCCCUAUGAGAGCGUCUCUGGAGGACCAGAAAGACUAUUUAUUUAUGGCCCCCUAUCCAGGCACAGGCAGGGACAUAAACAAAGGACACCAGAAAUUCUAACUCCAAGCACUACAUCCAUGCCUGCCCAAGUCCUCAAGACUUAUGCCUGGCACAUAGUGAGCACUUAUAAAUAUUUGUUAAAUACUUUUAAAAUUCUUGUUAAAGCCUCCAUCUGAUUCAAGAUCAAAUCAUGGUGAUAAAAAAUAUAUACCUUACUCCAAAGAAGCAGUCUUUGUAGGUAGGGAGCUGUAGAAAUAUGUGUAUGCACAGAGAUACUAUACAUAAAUAAAUAUGGGUAAGGAUAACAAAGGUAAAGGGGUGAUCCUUCAAGCCACCUGGCAAGAGAAGGAAGAAGAUUGCAAAGCUCCCUAAAGUGGAAACUAGUGUGCUUGCACAGAUUUUCCUUUAGUUGACUUAGAUUUCAAAAGAUCAUGUGCAGAAGUUAAAGAUAAGGAUGUUCCCAAGCAUGAAUGUAGGAAAAUGGCUCUGAACUUUAACAGUGUCAGGAAAGCUGAACCCAAGGAUAAGGAUUCUUAAGGGGGGAAAAAAUGAUGACGGUGAUGAUAAUGAUAACACAGACACCAA